rnacentral:rRNA from 1 species
UACGUAGGGGGCAAGCGUUGUCCGGAAUUAUUGGGCGUAAAGAGCGCGUAGGCGGUCCGAUAAGUCGGCUGUGAAAGUCCAGGGCUCAACCCUGGAAAGCCGGCCGAUACUGUCGGACUAGAGUCCGGAAGAGGCAAGUGGAAUUCCCGGUGUAGCGGUGAAAUUCGUAGAUAUUAGGAAGAACACCAGUGGCGAAGGCGGCUCACUGGUCCGGUACUGACGCUGAGGUGCGAAAGCGUGGGGAGCAAACAGGG